rnacentral:rRNA from 1 species
AUUGAACGCUGGCGGCAUGCCUUACACAUGCAAGUCGAACGGCAGCACGGGAGCAAUCCUGGUGGCGAGUGGCGAACGGGUGAGUAAUAUAUCGGAACGUGCCCAGUCGUGGGGGAUAACGUAGCGAAAGCUACGCUAAUACCGCAUACGAUCUACGGAUGAAAGCGGGGGAUCGCAAGACCUCGCGCGAUUGGAGCGGCCGAUAUCAGAUUAGGUAGUUGGUGAGGUAAAGGCUCACCAAGCCGACGAUCUGUAGCUGGUCUGAGAGGACGACCAGCCACACUGGGACUGAGACACGGCCCAGACUCCUACGGGAGGCAGCAGUGGGGAAUUUUGGACAAUGGGCGCAAGCCUGAUCCAGCAAUGCCGCGUGCAGGAUGAAGGCCUUCGGGUUGUAAACUGCUUUUGUACGGAACGAAACGGUGAGCUCUAAUACAGUUUGCUAAUGACGGUACCGUAAGAAUAAGCACCGGCUAACUACGUGCCAGCAGCCGCCGCAG